rnacentral:rRNA from 1 species
UACAGAGGGGGCAAGCGUUGUUCGGAAUUACUGGGCGUAAAGGGCGCGUAGGCGGCCAACUAAGUCAGACGUGAAAUCCCCAGGCUCAACCUGGGAACUGCGUCUGAUACUGGAUGGCUCGAGUUCGGGAGAGGGAAGCGGAAUUCCAGGUGUAGCGGUGAAAUGCGUAGAUAUCUGGAGGAACACCGGUGGCGAAGGCGGCAUCCUGGACCGGCAUUGACGCUGAGGCGCGAAAGCCAGGGGAGCAAACGGGG